UGGGGUAUGGUGUAAUGGUAACACUGCAGAUUCUGGUCCUGCCUUUUCUGGUUCGAGUCCGGAUACCCCAA
rfam:Prevotella sp. CAG:5226 genomic scaffold, scf1515